GACGAACGCUGGCGGCGUGCUUAACACAUGCAAGUCGAGCGAUGAAGCACCUUCGGGCGUGAAUUAGCGGCGAACGGGUGAGGAACACGUGAGAAAUCUGCCCUCAACACUGGGAUAACUCCGGGAAACCGGGGCUAAUACCGGAUAUGAAACCUGCGGGCAUCCGCGGGUUUGGAAAGUUUUUCGGUUGAAGAUGAUCUCGCGGCCUAUCAGCUUGUUGGUGAGGUAAUGGCUCACCAAGGCGACGACGGGUAGCCGGCCUGAGAGGGCGACCGGCCACACUGGGACUGAGACACGGCCCAGACUCCUACGGGAGGCAGCAGUGGGGAAUAUUGGGCAAUGGAGGAAACUCUGACCCAGCGACGCCGCGUGCGGGAUGAAGGCCUUCGGGUUGUAAACCGCUUUCAGCAGGGAAGAAGCGAAAGUGACGGUACCUGCAGAAGAAGCACCGGCUAACUAUGUGCCAGCCGCCGCGGUAA
rnacentral:rRNA from 1 species